AAUAAAACGGGAUGUUCCGUUACAUGAGGGGGUCUGAGUUAACGAAAUAAGGGUGGAUGAUACUCGAGGAGUCUUAUUCUUCCGCAUAUUUUGCAAGGGGAUGAUGUUAGAUCAAUCUUAAGAUGUGAAAUUUACUGUCUCAAAUAGGGCUAGAAGAAGUAUGAGUUAGAUCUUUCGAAGUUAGAGAAGAUCAAAAUCAACCAACUAUAUUAGUCCGUCUAUUGAUGAUGUUGUUUCUCUUCUUGGUGUUGUUGACCUGAAGGCCAAAAAAAUCUUUGGGGUUGUGCUGAAAUAAUCCCUGAAUCCAAAUCAGAGGUCAGUUAUGAUUAUAUGAUUUUGAUUUGUUUGUUUCUUCAGUUUCAGAUUGUCUUUGAAUUCUGUCAAUGAGUUUAGUUGCAAAUUUUUGGGUAAUUGAAUUCUGUUUUUGUAGAUAGAUUAACAACUAAUGACAAUAUCAAUCAAUAUUUGAGGCAGAAGCUUUUUUGGAAGCUUCUGUGCAAGUUGGAAGAUGUAUCAGAUUCCACAAAGAGGGUAAACAUUUUGAACGUCUUGAAUGAUUUAUCCUUGAGAGAUUCUACUAAUUAAGUUUCUCUGUACCUGCCUUCAUGAUUUCCAUCGACUCACUGCCGCUAGCAUUUGGUGCAGCUAUUUAAUUUUUGUAAAUAGAAAACUUAUUUAGUGCAGUGGUUAUUGUACUCACUUUCAUUUGGUGCAGCUAUUUUUUUGGCUAUAUGAUGAUGGAGACAUUCUUUGUAUGAGUAAUGUAAUCCUUUUCCGUGGCUUCUCAAACCCUAUGUAGAUCUCAACAGAUAAGCCCAGUUAACAAUUACAAGGAAAUUUAUAGACGAGCCUUACCAGUGGUAAUCCCCAGGUAGAAAUGGCAGAUUGAAAAUGGGCACACUUAUGUUUGUUUUUGUAUGUGAUGGUUGAUGAUAUUAAAGAAAGUUCAGAUUUUUCGGUAUGAAAAUACUGCGGUUGGUAGUAGGUGCAAGUAUGCAUACAUUGAACAUCAAUUGUAGUUUCCAGUUUCCACUGCCAACCUACAAUAUUGCAGUAGAAGAGUCAAUCGUUAUGCUGAGAGCAUCACAAAACCUGCUCCAAAGGCUAAGGCUUAUAGUUGAUGCAUACAAUGCAUUCUACAUAGUAACCGUCCAACUGCAAAUUCGACGGUGCGAAGCUGUUUCGAGACAUUGGUCAGUAUGCUUGAGUUGAACUCUUUUUAAAACUAUGAAUUAUUAUUGGGUACUUGGGUUAGUAAAUAAUGGUUUUCAGAACAUUUCUACAAGUCGUCCACAAGCAAGAUUUAUUAUCACAGUAUGUCAAAAUGCCUUGGUGCACUUCAUUGAUCAAAAUAUAUAAUCCAUCAAUAAUCUAAAAAAGAGUUUUAAACAAUGAAGUUUAAAGUGCGAAGAGUUUUGAAUUAGGCCAGUUUCAAGAUUGUUGUCCCUUGGCAACAAUUCAAACUUCAAAACAGCAGAUUUUGAAAAUUGGUCUUCAUACUGUUGGUAGUUCCUCCCAACUUUGCACUCAUAGACAAAAAGUACUUGCUAUGAACAAGCCAGAUCGACAUAUUUAUUGAUUGGACUCAUUGUCAUACUAUUGACUAUAGGCAUAUUUUUAGGGUACUGUUAUACACAAAAAUCUAACAUGUUGUUGAUCAGUAAUGAUGUGGAUAUAUACUUGAUCUGGCUUAUCGAUUGAUUUCUCAUCAUUUUGGCGGAGAAAAAGACGCUAGCUUGACAGUUCCGUAUCAAACAUGUGAUUUGUACCAGCUGAUAUUAUGAUAGUUUCACAUUAUUAUGGCAUAACUCAUUCUUCCAAAUUCUCUGAAAGUGGAAGCCAGAACUGCAUGUUGUUUGCAGUAUUAUUUGAAGUUCCGUUGGUGGUUACUCUUUUGAGCAUAAAAAAAUGCUUACUCUUUUGAGCAUUACUCUGUGUAAAGAAAGAUUACUCUUUCGAGAAUGACUCUGUACAAAAAAUUAAGGUACUUACAAAUGGUUGAGAAAUUUGUAUGUUUAGUUAAUGCAGUAUAUCGUAAAAGACUUUUUUUUUA